UUUUGCUACAAAGAGACAACCAGGAGCACAGGGGCUGAUUGGAAAUGAAACACUGUGCCCUCUUGUGUUCAUAAGAGAGACUGCAGCAGGUGGUGACACUUUUUUUUUCUCUGGUGUGUUUGUGUGUUCAGUGUGAGAUCAGGAUCAUGUGUGUCCAGCUCAGUGUUUCUGAAGAGUGACCAGUCAAAAGGGUGGAAUCCACCAAACUUCAGUGGGGAAACCCCAUCAUCUUCCGAAAGUGAUGAAUAUGAGUCGGCAGAUUCAGGAGACGAGACUCUCUGGAGACACAAGAGCUUCACAGACAAUCUCCAGUCCAUCUUCCAGAAUCUUGAGAGCAAAAUGAUCAGAUUUGUGAAGAAUGAACUGGAAAAGUU